rnacentral:rRNA from 1 species
GACGAACCGUGCGAACGUUAUUCGGAAUUACUGGGCUUAAAGCGCGUGUAGGCGGGCCGGCACGUCGGUCGCUGAAAUCCCCCGGCUCAACCGGGGAAGGGGCGCCGAUACGACCGGCCUGGAGGGGCGUAGGGGGACCGGGAACUUCCGGUGGAGCGGUGAAAUGCGUUGAGAUCGGAAGGAACGCCCGCGGCGAAAGCGCGGUCCUGGACGCCUGCUGACGCUGAGACGCGAAGCCAGGGAGCGAACGGG